GACAGAGGGUGCAAACGUUGCUCGGAAUUAUUGGGCGUAAAGAGCUCGUAGGCGGUUUGUCGCGUCUGCCGUGAAAGUCCGGGGCUCAACUCCGGAUCUGCGGUGGGUACGGGCAGACUAGAGUGAUGUAGGGGAGACUGGAAUUCCUGGUGUGGCGGUGAAAUGCGCAGAUAUCAGGAGGAACACCGGUGGCGAAGGCGGGUCUCUGGGCCGAUACUGACGCUGAGGAGCGAAAGCGUGGGGAGCGAACAGG
rnacentral:rRNA from 1 species